rnacentral:rRNA from 1 species
UGGGGAAUAUUGCACAAUGGGCGCAAGCCUGAUGCAGCCAUGCCGCGUGUAUGAAGAAGGCCUUCGGGUUGUAAAGUACUUUCAGCGGGGAGGAAGGGAGUAAAGUUAAUACCUUUGCUCAUUGACGUUACCCGCAGAAGAAGCACCGGCUAACUCCGUGCCAGCAGCCGCGGUAAUACGGAGGGUGCAAGCGUUAAUCGGAAUUACUGGGCGUAAAGCGCACGCAGGCGGUUUGUUAAGUCAGAUGUGAAAUCCCCGGGCUCAACCUGGGAACUGCAUCUGAUACUGGCAAGCUUGAGUCUCGUAGAGGGGGGUAGAGUUCCAGGUGUAGCGGUGAAAUGCGUAGAGAUCUGGAGGAAUACCGGUGGCGAAGGCGGCCCCCUGGACAAAGACUGACGCUCAGGUGCGAAAGCGUGGGGAGCAAACAGG